GUGAAACACCAUUAGUUUGUGUCCAAGUAUUGUUCCAAAGUUCACGUUUAGCCAAGUAUAAUUAAAAUUUGUAAAAUCCAGUGCAAAUUAGAAUUUGGCAUACUUUGUAUUGAAAAUAUAUAAUGAUUCCUCUAUAAAAGUGUUUCCCAACCUAUUCCUAUGUAGCACCCCUCCCAGGAGGUUUUAGAUCUCUUUAUAUGAAACACCCACUUCAGCUCAGUACAAAAACUGUCAUGUGAGACAGAGGUAGAGUGAUAAACGCAAUGUGCAAACAUCUAUUUGUAGGGGGGAAUUUUUAUUUUGUGGCGAACUGACAAAUACAUUUUUGUAUGAUGUCAUUUGGAAUAUUAUUUUAACAUACCAUUAGUAUACUUUAAAGUAUAUUUAAAAAUGCUUAAAGAGCACCUAUUAUGGGAUACACGUUUUUAAACAUCCUUUUGUGUGUAAGUGUGCAUUAGUACAUGCUAACGAUAUUCAAAAAGUACAUACCUCAAAGAAAACGAUGACGCGAGUUAUCGUCUCUAACGUUCGAGGACUACAAAAAACACUCGGAUUGUAGGCAACAGUUUACUUCCUGGGAUUAGUGACGUAGAUAAGACCAGCAUUAUCAUAGUUCAGCCCUCUCUGCUUUGCUUGGGUACGCCCUCAAAGACGAGGGUGGGGUGGGGAGCGCCGAGUCAGAGGAGAGCUAAAAUGGCGGAGGUUGGGAGUCCCUGCUUUGACUCUGUUUGCAAACUCUUGUUUCAUUGUUUAAGCGAUUAAAUCUCUCGAGUAGACGCUGUCUCUUUAGAUGCGAGGGCAAAAUAGCACUUUAUGGACUUCCACAGAGGACAUCAUGUUUAAUACGGUUCCGGAAAAAUCCAGUCAGAAGUUGUUCACGGAGUUUUCACAAUAACUGCUUCUCAUGAACCGAAGCUGGAUUUGCGCGUUGUCUCCUCUUGAAAGUUGGAUUACUGUGCACUUCUGGAUCACAGACUGUAAGUAUUCAUGUUUAUUAUUUGCCUUUUACUGUACAUUACGUAACCGGUAACCGGAGAUUAACAUAAUGUGCGUGUAGAGCUAAGCUUGCAAGCUAAUUGUUUUGUGUUGUAAUACUGUAUUUCAUAAACAACGUACCAUAUUUACACACGUGUAUGUUGAAUUAUGCAGGCUUUCGUUUUUUUUAUCGAUGUUGGUUUAGACAUGUUUACAAACUUGCUAAGUUGCUAAGAUAAAUACAAAUACAAAUGCCAGCUAAACUGUUACCGGUAAAAUUUGUUCUCAUUAUCAAACUCAAGAAACUCUAAGUAAGUUACAGAUGAUUUGUUUAAAGUUAUAUGUAUUUUACUGUUGUAUUUACUUGAAGCUUUCUUAGAUUUUGAAACGAAGUAAACACGUAAUGUGUGUUGCUAAUGUUGGGCCAUGUAAUAUGUAAUACAUUUACGUUUUAAUGAAUAGUCUAACGAUUUAUAGUCGUUGUACUCUAUUGUUAUAAUAUUUCUUUUUGACUGAAUACAUGUUUGUUUUAUUUGUCUAUAUCCUAGAUUCGCAGCUGGACACAUCCUUCUACACUGUAUGCAAACAUGCAACAUCAUUACACACAGUACAAGGAGUCAGACUGGCAUAUGAGGAGCAAAGGAACCCAGGCAGUAUCAUCGUUUCACAAUGUUUCCAUCACCAUCAUCAGUGGAUGCCUUUGCCGUCCGUAGCCUGAGAUUUCAGAUUUGCAGCAAAAAAAAUUGAUUUUCUCAUUUAUUGGAAUGCUGUGCAGGUAUUUGUACCUUGCAGCCAUCCAUUACAAUGUCACCAAGCCGUAACAAAAGCAGGAGAGGGAAAGUACAAGGCUAUGUUCCCAAAACACACAAGUGACAUACCUUAUGUGGAGGAUGUGAUCAGGCUUGUGUUUGAUGAGGUAUUUGAAGAUAAGCUGAAGGAAACCCCGAUUCCAAUGGACCUGGCAUCACAGUUUGAGAGACCUUCAAAGGAGGACGUGAUUGCAUGCCAUCUUCAGUGCAGGGGUCGUCGAAAGCCAAAAUUGUGACCGAUCUGAUCAGGAAGCUCCAAGCGUAUCUGGAGAACAACACACGACAGGAUGAUAACCUUAUAGUGUCGUCUUAGAUAGCACCAGCUGACAAAGCUUUGAUAUGCCAUUUAUCUGAAUAGAUAGCUGUAAGAAAUGAAUUGAACAAUUUUUGAAACAAGAGCACAAUAUGGUUACUAAAGUAUGUUUAUUUGUAUAUUGUUUAACAUUUAAAUAUAUAUUUGUAAUAAAUAAAUAAAACUUUU